rnacentral:rRNA from 1 species
GAUGAACGCUGGCGGCGCGCCUAACACAUGCAAGUCGAACGAUUAAAGCACCUUCGGGUGUGUAUAAAGUGGCGAACGGCUGAGUAACACGUGGGCAACCUGCCCCUUUCAUUGGGAUAGCCACGGGAAACCGUGGAUAAUACCGAAUACUUCGAGACUUCCGCAUGGAAGACUGGAGAAAGCUCCGGCGGAGAGGGAUGGGCCCGCGGCCUGUUAGCUUGUUGGUGGGGUAACGGCCUACCAAGGCAAUGAUGGGUAGCUGGGUUGAGAGACCGACCAGCCAGAUUGGGACUGAGACACGGCCCAGACUCCUACGGGAGGCAGCAGUGGGGAAUCUUGCACAAUGGGCGAAAGCCUGAUGCAGCGACGCCGCGUGCGGGAUGAAGGCCUUCGGGUUGUAAACCGCUUUCAGCAGGGACGAGGCGAAAGUGACGGUACCUGCAGAAGAAGCCCCGGCUAACUACGUG